UCUGGGGUUCCCGAGCGGCCAAAGGGAGCAGACUGUAAAUCUGCCGUCAUCGACUUCGAAGGUUCGAAUCCUUCCCCCACCACCA
rnacentral:tRNA from 1 species